rnacentral:tRNA from 1 species
GCCCUCGUGGCGGAAUGGUAUACGCGGCAGGUUGAGGGCCUGUGCCUUUAAGGCGUGGUGGUUCGAGUCCACUCGAGGGCACC